rnacentral:rRNA from 1 species
AGUACAGUGGCGUACGGGUGAGUAACACGUGGAUGAUCUGCCUUUUAGUGGGGAAUACCUCUGGGAAACCGGAGACAAUACCGCGUAAGCUCGGAAGAGGAAACCUGGAAACGGGGCUGAAAGAGGAGUCCGCGGCCGAUUAGCUAGUUGGUGAGGUAACGGCUCACCAAGGCGACGACGGGUAGCUGGUCUGAGAGGAUGGCCAGCCACAUUGGGACUGAGAUACGGCCCAG